GUCGAGAAUUUUUCACAAUGGGGGAAACCCUGAUGGAGCGACGCCGCGUGGGGGAUGAAUGGCUUCGGCCCGUAAACCCCUGUCAAUCGGGAGCAAUGCGUCCGACCUAAUACGUCGGACGUUGAUAGUACCGGAAGAGGAAGGGACGGCUAACUCUGUGCCAGCAGCCGCGGUAAUACAGAGGUCCCAAGCGUUGUUCGGAUUCACUGGGCGUAAAGGGUGCGUAGGCGGUCGGGUAAGUCUGAUGUGAAAUCUCGGAGCUCAACUCCGAAACGGCAAUGGAUACUAUCCGGCUGGAGGUUGGGAGGGGGGACUGGAAUUCUCGGUGUAGCAGUGAAAUGCGUAGAUAUCGAGAGGAACACCAGUGGCGAAGGCGAGUCCCUGGACCAAUCCUGACGCUGAGGCACGAAAGCCAGGGGAGCAAACGGGAUUAGAAACCCCUGUAGUCC
rnacentral:rRNA from 1 species